CAAUAGCGUAUAUUAAAGUUGUUGCGGUUAAAAAGCUCGUAGUUGGAGUUCUGCCAGGUGCCGCCUGUCCGCCCCAGUGGUGAGUACGUGGCGCGCAUUUGGCCCUUUCAAGGGGAGCGUAUCUGCACUUUAUUGUGUGGUGCGGGAUCCUUGACUUUUACUUUGAGGAAAUAGGAGUGUUCCAAGCAGGCUCUCGUCGUGCACAGCUCAGCAUGGAAUAAUAGCAUUGGACCUCGAUUCUAAGCUGUUGGUUGCCAGAAGCGAGGUAAUGAUGAAGAGGGAUAGUUGGGGGCAUUCGUAGUUAACUGUCGGAGGUGAAAUUCUUGGAUUUGUUAAAGACGGACUACUGCGAAAGCAUCUGCCAUGGAUGUUUUCAUUGA
rnacentral:rRNA from 1 species